rnacentral:rRNA from 1 species
AUGCAUGGGGGGAGAGACAAACCCAUGUGGAUGUUGACGGCUGACAGAAAAUUCACUGUCAAAUCUCUAUACAGGGAUCUGAUCAAAUCUGAUGUGGGAUUCUCCAGGAAGUUCCUAUGGAAAACUAAAGUUCCUGCUAAGAUUAGAUUCUUUCUUUGGCUUCUAGCCACAAAAAGCAUACUUACUAGAGAUAAUCUGUUAAAAAGAGGCUGGAAAGGGGAUAAAAAUUGUGUGUUUUGUGGCAAAGAUGAAACAAUAGAUCAUCUAUUUUUCUCGUGCUCAGUGGUUAAAACCAUCUGGGCUCUAGUAAGAUGUGCAUUUGACCUGAAAUGCACUCCUAGAAACCUCAAUGAUUGUUUUGGAAUAUGGCUGAAAAAUUUCCAGAAAGAUAGCAAGAAACUUAUGUUAGUUGGCAUCUCAGCGCUGCUGUGGGCGAUCUAG